GAUGAACGCUGGCGGCGUGCCUAAUACAUGCAAGUCGAGCGAACAGACGAGGAUCUUGCUCCUCUGACGUUAGCGGCGGACGGGUGAGUAACACGUGGAUAACCUACCUAUAAGACUGGGAUAACUUCGGGAAACCGGAGCUAAUACCGGAUAAUAUAUUGAACCGCAUGGUUCAAUAGUGAAAGACGGUUUUGCUGUCACUUAUAGAUGGAUCCGCGCCGCAUUAGCUAGUUGGUAAGGUAACGGCUUACUAAGGCAACGAUGCGUAGCCGACCUGAGAGGGUGAUCGGCCACACUGGAACUGAGACACGGUCCAGACUCCUACGGGAGGCAGCAGUAGGGAAUCUUCCGCAAUGGGCGAAAGCCUGACGGAGCAACGCCGCGUGAGUGAUGAAGGUCUUCGGAUCGUAAAACUCUGUUAUUAGGGAAGAACAAAUGUGUAAGUAACUAUGCACGUCUUGACGGUACCUAAUCAGAAAGCCACGGCUAACUACGUG
rnacentral:rRNA from 1 species